rnacentral:lncRNA from 1 species
AAUUCGUCAUACUCAAUGAAUGAAGUGACAACCACGUUUGAAAUCACUUGAACAUCGGCAAUGAGACAAUCAAGGUCUACUGCAUCUAAAGUUAAAAUUGUUUUUGAGACUUGUUAAAUGUUACAUUCUGUUAAUUUCGUUAAGUUAAUUGAAGGGUGCGCAAGUUUUAUUUAUCAUAUUUAAGUAUGCUUGAUUUCUACGUGAUUCACAUUGUUUCCUAUUAUAUCACCGCCAUGCUUCCUAAACGUGAUGAUUCAGUUGUGGGAGAUGUAACUUCAUGAAACAAGCUCUGGAGAUUUGCCAUGGUUGUGCGUCAACCUGUCUCAUGCUGUGAAGAAAAAUGUAGAGGAUUGCCUUUUUUGUUGGUGCUGGGAUGUUGGAUGACAGUUGUUUGCGGCUUGAUUUCCUGGACUUCAUUCUGUGGAGGCUUGUGUGACCGGAUGGUGGCUUUGCAGUUGAUGUGAUCGUGCGUCUUUCAGAUGAUGGUGUGCAGCUUUUGAUUCUACGAAGUAGAAAUUUUUGAGUUUUACUUAACCGUAUUAUGCCGCCGCGGGAAAAUUAGGGAGGUUGCGGUGUGGUGCGAUCUGUCACUGGCUUUGCUAAGGCGGAUCUUCUCAGAAUUUCCUUUUGGUGUUGACCAGUGAAUAUUUGUCAUCUAGCUGGUUACCCUAGAACUGGGAGAUGAGACUGGAAAAUUGAAGGAGAUGUACAACAAAGGCACAAAGGCUCCAAUAAGAUGAGGUUGCUUGGGGUUUCCUGUGAGAUUUCUUUAUUAUGUGAAGGUUCUUUUUGGAUAUGUAGCCUGGCGGACUUUAUCAUAUCCAUUAGCCCAGGGUAUUGCUGCUGCAAUUUAGACAGAUUUCACAGUUCAGGUGCCAAGAAUUAAGAAUAAGAGGUUGCUUUGGAGUUUACUGUGCAUCUUCUGUAUGAUGUGAAGGUAUGUUUUGUACUCAUUCAAGCAGGGUUCUGUGUUGAUUUAAAGUGAUGACAUAAGAUUUCUGUGUCCAGGCCAAUGAUCAUUUAUGAUAUAAACUAUUUUGGUGACUACUGAUUUUUGUAUAUUGGAAAGACUAGUAGCCAUCUUCUGCACAAUAUCAACUGUUUCUAUUUGGGUGUUUGGUUGUUUUUGGGUAAUAGCCUGGUCGACUUCAACCCACAGGAGCUGCUGGACGAACAGGCUAGUAUGUUGCUGCUGCAAAUAUUCUGGUAUGUAUAGUUACAAUUUAUUCGUCGAUUUACCCAUGACGAUAUCAUAUUUCCAGAGAUACAAUGGUGGUACAAACUGAUUUAUUGAGACUGAGGAAACUACACUUGACAAAAUACGAGGAUUUUUGUGUAACGGGUUUUAAGCGAUGUUUUUACUUUUUUUCAGUCGGCCGUGCAUCUCUAGUACUACUGCUACUGCCAAAUUGCAAGCGAUAUCGUCUUUUUAAAGGCUAGAAACAGGAUGUCUCAGUGAUUCAACUCUCGGUUUUCUGGAAUCCCCUUUAUCCUUAGCAGGUCGUACCUAGCUGUCGUGACAUAGUUGGAAGUUAACGAUUAGGUCAAUACUUCGCAGCUUCAUCUGUCACUACCUUACAGCGUGACCUGCAUAUACGCGUGGAAUGCAUUCAGGUUGGUAGAAGUUUGUUGGUAUACCCCACUAAUUAAGCCGAUUGAUUAAGUCCUUAACUGGCUAUUCUUUGGUAUACGGUGGGAACAGUAAAUGCUAAUCCGUGUAAGGUCUUCUACCCAAUUGCUUGGUGGGUUAUUUAAGGGUUGAAUCAGCAAUAUUAUAAUAAUAAGCUUAUUGUUAUUUUUCGUAUUUUUGUUUAAAGUUCUUCGGAGAUUGAUAUUCUUUCUUGGGAUGUGGUCUGAGCCUGUGAGCCGCAAUCUAGUUCACGCUUGGAUACCAUUCCAUCGAUCUCUUGAAGUAAAACUUGAAAAUCACAUAAUUGACAUAGUUAA